rnacentral:rRNA from 1 species
UGGGGAAUUUUGGACAAUGGGCGAAAGCCUGAUCCAGCAAUGCCACGUGUGUGAAGAAGGCCUUCGGGUUGUAAAGCACUUUUGUCCGGAAAGAAAUCCUUGGCUCUAAUACAGUCGGGGGAUGACGGUACCGGAAGAAUAAGCACCGGCUAACUACGUGCCAGCAGCCGCGGUAAUACGUAGGGUGCAAGCGUUAAUCGGAAUUACUGGGCGUAAAGCGUGCGCAGGCGGUUUGCUAAGACCGAUGUGAAAUCCCCGGGCUCAACCUGGGAACUGCAUUGGUGACUGGCAGGCUAGAGUAUGGCAGAGGGGGGUAGAAUUCCACGUGUAGCAGUGAAAUGCGUAGAGAUGUGGAGGAAUACCGAUGGCGAAGGCAGCCCCCUGGGCCAAUACUGACGCUCAUGCACGAAAGCGUGGGGAGCAAACAGGAUUAGAUACCCUGGUAGUCCACGCCCUAAACGAUGUCAACUAGUUGUUGGGGAUUCAUUUCCUUAGUAACGUAGCUAACGCGUGAAGUUGACCGCCUGGGGAGUACGGUCGCAAGAUUAAAACUUAAAUGAAUUGACGGGGU